rnacentral:rRNA from 1 species
GACGAACGCUGGCGGCGUGCCUAAUACAUGCAAGUAGAACGCUGAAGGAGGAGCUUGCUUCUCUGGAUGAGUUGCGAACGGGUGAGUAACGCGUAGGUAACCUGCCUGGUAGCGGGGGAUAACUAUUGGAAACGGUAGCUAAUACCGCAUAACAGUAGAUAUCGCAUGAUAUCUACUUGAAAGGUGCAAUUGCAUCACUACCAGAUGGACCUGCGUUGUAUUAGCUAGUUGGUGAGGUAACGGCUCACCAAGGCGACGAUACAUAGCCGACCUGAGAGGGUGAUCGGCCACACUGGGACUGAGACACGGCCCAGACUCCUACGGGAGGCAGCAGUAGGGAAUCUUCGGCAAUGGACGGAAGUCUGACCGAGCAACGCCGCGUGAGUGAAGAAGGUUUUCGGAUCGUAAAGCUCUGUUGUAAGAGAAGAACGAGUGUGAGAGUGGAAAGUUCACACUGUGACGGUAUCUUACCAGAAAGGGACGGCUAACUACGUG